UAUAUUUACAAAACUAAAACUUGAGCCCA
rnacentral:piRNA from 1 species